rnacentral:rRNA from 1 species
GACGAACGCUGGCGGCGUGCUUAACACAUGCAAGUCGAACGGUAAGGCCCUUCGGGGUACACGAGUGGCGAACGGGUGAGUAACACGUGGGUGAUCUGCCCUGCACUUCGGGAUAAGCCUGGGAAACUGGGUCUAAUACCGGAUAGGACCCUGGGAUGCAUGUCCUGGGGUGGAAAGCUUUUGCGGUGUGGGAUGGGCCCGCGGCCUAUCAGCUUGUUGGUGGGGUGAUGGCCUACCAAGGCGACGACGGGUAGCCGGCCUGAGAGGGUGACCGGCCACACUGGGACUGAGAUACGGCCCAGACUCCUACGGGAGGCAGCAGUGGGGAAUAUUGCACAAUGGGCGCAAGCCUGAUGCAGCGACGCCGCGUGAGGGAUGACGGCCUUCGGGUUGUAAACCUCUUUCAGCAUCGACGAAGCGAAAGUGACGGUAGGUGCAGAAGAAGGACCGGCCAACUACGUGCCAGCAGCCGCGGUAA